GACGAACGCUGGCGGUGUGCUUAACACAUGCAAGUCGAACGGUGACGGGACCAGCUUGCUGGUUCUGGAUGAGUGGCGAACGGGCGAGUAACACGUGCGUCACCUUCUCCCUUCUUCUGGAUAACCGCAUGGAAGUGCGGCUACUACUGGCUCUUCUGGGUCUGUCGCAUGACGGGCCCGGGUUCGAUCUUGCUUCGGUGGGGUAUGGGCUCGCGGCCUAUCGGCUUGUUGGUGGGGUGAUGGCCUACCAAGGCGGUGACGUGUAGCCGGUCUGAGGAUGUGGACGAUCACACUGGAGCUGAGACACGGACCAGACUCGUACGGGAGGGAGCAGUGGAGAAUAUUGCACAAUGGGGGCAAGCCUGAUGCAGCGGCGCCGCUGGAGAGAGGGUGGCCUUCGUGUUGUAAACCUCUUGCGCAAGAGAAGCAGGCCGGCUACUUGUGGGUGGGUUGACGGUAGCUGAAUAAGAAGCGCCGGCUAACUACGUG
rnacentral:rRNA from 1 species